rnacentral:ncRNA from 1 species
GCUUCUUAGAGGGACUAUCGCCGUUUAGGCGACGGAAGUUUGAGGCAAUAACAGGUCUGUGAUGCCCUUAGAUGUUCUGGGCACGACGCGCGCUACACUGAUGUAUUCAACGAGUAUAUAGCCUUGGCCGACAGGCCCGGGUAAUCUUGGGAAAUUUCAUCGUGAUGGGGAUAGAUCAUUGCAAUUGUUGGUCUUCAACGAGGAAUGCCUAGUAAGCGCGAGUCA